UUUUUUUUUUUUUUUUUUUUUUUUUUUUGCUUUUUAGGGCCCCACUAAGGGUGGGAGUUGAAGCUGCCAGCCUACACCAUAGCAACACCAAAUCUGAGCCUCAUUUCCAACCUAUACCACAGUUCAGGGCAACAGCAGAUCCUUUACCCACUGAGGGAGGCCAAGGAGCGAAUCCACAUCCUCAUGGGUACUGGUCAGGUUCAUUACUGCUGAGCCACAAUAGGAACUUAACGAAGGCUGUAUUUUUAACCACUGUAAUAUCCUAGGCUCUUUCCCGUCUAUUCAUACAUGCCAACCAAUGUCUUUCCCAGUGUCAGAAAGCUAUUAAGUUUACUCACUCUAUUCCUAAUGUAACACUGCAGAUAACAUGAAAAUGUGCAGAUGAACAAAAUAUGACUCUGGAGCAGCACUGUGAACAGAACCUUCUGUGACGACAGAAAUGUUCAGUAAUAUCUGUGCUGUCCAAGAAAUAACAAGAAAGUGCAUGCCACAGAAAGAAGCAACUUAGCAACCAUGAUGGCAACUUGCCAACAGUAAAACAACUCAAGGUAGACAUAUAUAGUCAAGGAGUAAAACUGAAAAAGGCUCCAUCUCAAACAUGUCCUAAGACCAUGUCUUAUCUUUCAAACAUCCACAACAGCCUUCAAAAUUCAGAUUCACCACCAGCUGCAUUAUACCACCACCGCCCUGCACGUGUGUACUGCAGACCAAAUUGGGUAUUAAGUGUAUAUUGUGUUCCCCACUGGACUGUGAGCAUCUGAAGAACAGAUAGGUAUUAACAUCUCCACCACCUGCAACUAUAUCCCAAGGUUUUCUACACUAUUUCGUCAUUCAGUUUUAAUGGGAGAUAGUAUUCAAUUCUGUAAGCGUCUGAGUACCAGCAGUAUGUAUGAAAGGAAGUCCUUGUAAGGAUCUUAGAGUGGGAUGGGGGAUACAUUAUACAGGUAGACAAAUAAAUAGCAAAGGAAGGAGGGUAACUACCUAAGUACGUAAACCUAGUGCUUCAGGGCAGAAUGGAACUGUCAGGUGUCCUAGUGGUAAGAGAAACUGGAACGCAGUCUAAGAAAUAAGCAGCCAUUAUUCAAUUUUGUAAAACAUGUAAGAUGGUAAAGUGUGCCCCCACCUACUACUCCGCAAAGCCUAAUGGAUUUAAAAGGAAGGAAGGAAGAGAAACAUCACAGCAGGGCACAGAAAUUUAUCCUGACUUCACUCACAUCACCAGCGUCAGACUCACCCUGCUCCCUGUACCAGUAGGCCAAAGCUAGUCUUAGAACAAAGGCUUCUAGAUCCAAAGUUUCCACGAAAAUCUCACAGCAAAAAACAUGGUAGUUUUCCGUACACUCAAACCCUGAUUAUCUUUUAGUUAUCUACUUUUAGGUCUUGGAAACGUUAACACAGUCCAAUCUUACAGUCAGUGUAAGAGGCAGCACAUGGAGCUAAGAGUAGUUUAAAUUCAUUUAAAAGAAGUUCCCAGAGUUCCCGUCGUGGUGCAGUGGUUAACGAAUCCAACUAGGAACCAUGAGGUUGCAGGUUCAAUCCCUGGCCUUGCUCAGUGGGUUACAGAUCCGGCAUUGCCGUGAGCUGUGUUGUAGGUUGCAGACACAUCUCGGAUCCCGAGUUGCUGUGGCUCUGGAGUAGGCCAGCAGCUACAGCUCCAAUUAGACCCCUAGCCUGGGAACCUCCAUAUGCCGCGAGAGCGGCCCUAGAAAUGGCAAAAAGACAAAAAAUAAUAAUAAUUUUAAAAACAUUCAUUUCAUAAGCACAUUUUCUGUUUCCUUUAAAAAUCAUUUGGGGGCAGGGGUACUGUAUGAGGAGGCUGCAAAUUCAUAAGACAUCAAGCAUCAUCCAGAGGCCAAAAAAUAGAAAGUAUAACUACUAUCAUGUAGCAGGUUGCACACUGGAAGACUAACAAAAGUCCAACACUCUAACUUUAGAAAAGAUUGGGGUAAAAAAUCACCAGCCAAUUUUCUCAUCUCUAUCAGCACACAGAUUAUUCAUGACAAAAACAAGAGAAAAUCUGCUUAGUUUUCCUAAACUGAAUGGGCUUGUGUAGUUUAACUUUUUUAUAUGCCUGUUUUCUCAUUUUAGAUUGAGGAAGGAGACUAGAUGCCCUCAGAGGAAAAAAUGUCAUUAGCUGAUAUAAUUACUUACAGAUUGAUUCAGCAUGAAUUCUGGUUCAAUCCUAAUUCAUCCAUGAACAGGAAAUAUAGGGCCAUGGAAGUUAUUAAAAUGUCAUAAAUUCUUUGAUUCUCCUCAAAACAUGGAGCUUGAUGCCUCUCCCCUUGGCUGUAGGUUCUGUGAACCCACAGCAUGUGGCAGCAGCAGUGGGGUUUCCUCCUUGCUCCUGCUUGGGUCACUCACUCUAGGGGAAGCCAGCCACCAGGUGGUGAGGACACUCACGCAAGCCCAGUGGAGAACUGAGAACUGCUGAACGCUAACCUGCUGGAGUGUGGGCCCCAGAGAGCCUCCAACUCAGUAAACAUCUUGACAUAAAAAACACCUCAUGACUGACCCAAAACGACCUAAGCUACUGCCAGGUUCCCUGACCCACAGCAAUUCUGAGAUAUACUGAAUGGUCACUGUUUUAAUCCACUAAGUUUU
ensembl:lncRNA